rnacentral:rRNA from 1 species
ACGCUCGACACCUACGUGAGGCAGCAGUGGGGAAUAUUGGGCAAUGGGCGCAAGCCUGACCCAGCAACGCCGCGUGAAGGAAGAAGGCUUUCGGGUUGUAAACUUCUUUUCUCAGGGACGAAGGAAGUGACGGUACCUGAGGAACAAGCCACGGCUAACUACGUGUCAGCAGCCGCGGUAAUCUGAGCGGGCUGGCAAGGC